AUCCUUUUGUGGUUCAUAAGCCUGAUGAUUGGGGUUCUCACGUGUCCACGUGACAUGUGCCUCCCUCUAACCCUUGUUACAAUGUGGGCACAUUACCCGGCUGAUG